CCAAGAGGAACCUCCACUCCCAGGUGCUCUGACACACCCAGGAUCAGAGAAGAAGACCAGCUCAAACAGCUAGCUUCCUGGGACUGAGCAACUACUAGAUUCUUGGCCUUGCCAUCCACAGCCGCCCAUUGUUGGACUACAGACUAAUCCAAAGGAUCCGGGAACUAACAGGAC